UACAGAGGUCUCAAGCGUUGUUCGGAAUCACUGGGCGUAAAGGGUGCGUAGGCCGCACGGUAAGUCAGAGGUGAAAUCCCGGAGCUCAACUUCGGAAUUGCCUCCGAUACUCCCGUGCUUGAGGACUGGAGAGGAGUCUGGAAUUCACAGUGGAGCAGUGAAAUGCGUAGAUAUUGUGAGGAACACUAGUGGCGAAGGCGAGACUCUGGACAGUUCCUGACGCUGAGGCACGAAGGCCAGGGGAGCAAACGGG
rnacentral:rRNA from 1 species